rnacentral:rRNA from 1 species
GACGAACGCUGGCGGCGUGCUUAACACAUGCAAGUCGAACGAUGAAGAAGGAGCUUGCUCUGGUGAAUUAGUGGCGAACGGGUGAGUAACACGUGAGUAACCUGCCCUUGACUCUGGGAUAACUGCGGGAAACUGUAGCUAAUACCGGAUACGACCCUCGGAGGCAGCUCCUGGGGGUGAAAAGAAUUUCGGUCAAGGAUGGACUCGCGGCCUAGCAGCUAGUUGGUUAGGUAAAGGCUCACCAAGGCGACGACGGGUAGCCGGCCUGAGAGGGUGACCGGCCACACUGGGACUGAGACGCGGGCCCGACGCGUACGGGGGGGCGGAGUGCGGGAUAUUGCCCAAUUGGCGCAAGCCUGAUGCAUCAGCGGCGCGUGAGGGAUGGCAGUCUUCGGGUUGUAAACCUCUUUUAGCAAGGAAGAAGCGAAAAUGACGGUACCUGCAGAAAAAGCAGCGGCUAACUACGUGCCAGCCGCCGCAGUAA